ACACGUUUAAUCUUUAAUAAAAAGUAAUAUUUAUAUAUAGAUAUUUUUAUAUAUUAUAUUUUAUAUAUAUUUAUCUUUUAUUUAUAUAUUAUAUUUUAUAUAAAUAUAUAUAUAUAUAUAUAUAUAUAUACGUAAUAAUUUAUUGUUAUAUUUCACUUUUAUCAAUAAUCUUCAUAUGAAGAUUUAACAAAUUACAUAAGAAGUGAAAUAUCAAAACGAAAGAAGAUAUUCUCUUUGAUGUGAUUGAUUACAAGGAACAUCGUAAUCAUAGUUAAGAUAGUUGAAUUACCGGUACUUUUAUUUGACCGGUAUAUUCUCUCUGACCAGUGACAAAAAGUAGAUCGAGCAUAAUCAAAAAAAUGAUCGUUACGAAAAUAAGAAGAUCAAAGGAUCUCUCUAAAGGAUCUAAAGGAUUCCAGCAACUCUCGGACACCAGGACAUCAGGAUGAAAGAAGAGUAAACGAAAUAAAGAAAAAAAAAAAAAAAAAAAACAAAAACAAAAAUAUCUAGGAACAAAGAAUAGACAUGUCAACAAGAUUAGAAGAUAAAGAUAGUCAUUAUGAAGAUACUGUUGUUGAGAACAAUAACAACGAAGAUAAAGAAUACAAUCAAUAAUGAGAUUAGACAACGACGAAAUGUCGAGGGACAAAAAAAAUAAUAAUUGGGAUCAAAUGAAAGAUUAACAACGAUGAUGAAAUAGGACUGACGUACAUAUCUAAAGUUUCGUAAAAUUAACAGAGUAUGGAUAUGGAUAUGUAUUAUAACUGUUAGAACUAUAAUUGGGAGUAAAGGAGAAUUGAAGAUCCAUCCAUAGUUCCGAUGACGUAUCAAGUCAUCCCUUUGAUCCUGUAGGUCAUCAUUACGGGAGGAUGACACACAGGACGAUAUUGUAAUCAUGUGUUUAGUAACAAUAGUGGACGACAAGACCAUGUAGAUUGUAGAGACAUGUAUUAAAUAUUCCUGGCUCGUAAUGGACGAAGAGAUAGCGCGUCAUUACAUGCGCAGAACCGAUCCAACAAGGAAGACACGAAAAUAGAAGCGAACACUGGAUCAUACUCGUUAUACACAAAAAUGUUAUACACCGAACUAUUGAAUAAACUGAGAUGGAUAGAAACACCGAUGGGAUUCGACAAUUGUACAUUAUCAACCGUAUUGAUUAUCCAACAUCAUGAACGACGACAACAGGAAAUAAUGCACAGUAACUAGAUUAUAGAAGGUAACAUCAUCGAAGCGAAUGAUUUUCUGUUUUCCUGUUGUUCGAUGAUACUACUCUUUUCGAGAUAAAAUGACGUGCAAGGUAUGAAUGGGAGAAUGAAGGGGAAGGGGAAUGUAGAUCGUAAAACAGUUAAAUAAUAAUAAUGAAAUAAUAACAGUUAAAUAAUAACAUUCUAUAUCGAGAGAAUACAGGAUCGAUCGAACAGACAAAGCAGACAUAUUAAAUAUUAUAUCAUAUCGAGUCCUAAGUAAUCGUUAUAUUAUCAAGUAUCACCGGUAACUGAAGUUUCUAAACUACAUAAUUGUCGUUUAACAUAUACGGUCGGAUUUUAUCAGUUCGCUGGAAUACCAUUUUGACUUUCUAAUGCUGCCUGUCCCGUUUCAACGACUAUGUUUAAUGUAGUUUUAGAUAAUCUGGAGACUAUUACAAUUGUAUAUAUAUUUGAACGGUAUCAUUGCAACAUCGCAAAAAUAUCGAAAAAGGAAUAGAUAUCCUCUCUUUCUCUCUCUCUCUCUCUCUCUCUCUCUGUCUGUCUCAUACCGCGUUCCCUUUGUUACAUUAUACUACUCUACAUUGAAUUUCGGAUAAGUAAUGUAUAUACCAAUCGUAAUCAUCUAAAUUACAAUCGAGUUGCUAUUUGUAAUUAGAUUUUUAAAAUAAUGUUUUCUAAUUGUCCAUUUGCAAUUUGGGAUCUUUAUGUUAUUUUCUAUCUUUAGAAAAUUUUUCUAAUUUAUUGGCUAUCGAAGUGUUUUCUGUAUCACUGAAUGUUUAGACAAGUCCUAUUAUUAGAUAAACUCUUUUAAAAAAAAAUUUUAAGUCCCGUUGCAAAUGAUAUUUACAAAUUACUCUAAUCAUGGAAUAGUUAUUAUAAUU